GACGAACCACCCAAACGUUAUUCGGAAUUACUGGGCUUAAAGGGUGCGUAGGCGGCGCGGAAAGUUGGAUGUGAAAUCCCUCGGCUCAACCGAGGAACUGCGUUCAAAACUCCCGUGCUCGAGGAAGACAGAGGUAAGCGGAACUUCGGGUGGAGCGGUGAAAUGCGUUGAUAUCCGAAGGAACACCGGUGGCGAAAGCGGCUUACUGGGUCUUUUCUGACGCUGAUGCACGAAAGCUAGGGGAGCAAACGGG
rnacentral:rRNA from 1 species